rnacentral:tRNA from 1 species
GGGUAUAGCUCAAGUAGUAGAGCACUUGCUUAGCAUGCAUGAGGUCCUGGGUUCAAUCCCCAGUAACUCCU